AUUAAAGGCAACGCCUGCCCAGUGAAUAAUUCAACGGCCGCGGUAUCCUAACCGUGCAAAGGUAGCAUAAUCAUUUGUCUAUUAAUUGUAGACCCGUAUGAAAGGCAAAAUGAGAGCCCAACUGUCUCUUAUAAUAAAUCAAUUAAACUGAUCUCCCAGUACAAAAGCUGAGAUACCCCUAUAAGACCAGAAGACCCUGUGAAGCUUUAACUAACCUACUAAACCCUAUAAUAGCCAGUUUCGGUUGGGGCGACCUUGGAACAAAAAAGAACUUCCAAAAAUAUGACUCAUCAUAUAAAAGGCGAACAAGCCACAAUUAGACCCAGUAUCUGAUAAAUGAACUAAGUUACUCCAGGGAUAACAGCGCUAUCUUCUUCAAGAGCCCAUAUCAAAAAGAAGGUUUACGACCUCGAUGUUGGAUCAGGACAUCCUAGUAAUGCAGCCGUUACUAAGGGUUCGUUUGUUCAACGAUUAAUAGUCCUACGUGAUCUGA
rnacentral:rRNA from 1 species